rnacentral:rRNA from 1 species
AGCAGCCGCGGUAAUUCCAGCUCCAAUAGCGUAUAUUAAAGUUGUUGCAGUUAAAAAGCUCGUAGUUGAAUUUCGAGACCGGUUUAUUGGUCGUGCUUUUGUACGUACUGGUAUUAUUGGUUUCUCCUUUCUGACGAAUCUUAAUGCCAUUAAUUUGGUGUUUUGGGGAAUCAGGACUGUUACUUUGAAAAAAUUAGAGUGUUUAAAGCAGGCUCACGCUUGAAUACAUUAGCAUGGAAUAACGGAAUAGGACGUUUGAUUCUAUUUUGUUGGUUUCUAGGAUCGACGUAAUGAUUAAUAGGGAUAGUUGGGGCAUUAGUAUUCAAUUGUCAGAGGUGAAAUUCUUGGAUUUAUUGAAGACUAACUACUGCGAAAGCAUUUGCCAAGGAUGUUUUCAUUAAUCAAGAACGAAAGUUAGGGGAUCGAAGACGAUCAGAUACCGUCGUAGUCUUAACCAUAAACUAUGCCGACUAGGGAUCGGAUGAUGUUAAUUUUUAAUGACUUCAAUUCGGCGCCUUAC